rfam:Danio rerio chromosome 4, GRCz11 reference primary assembly.
GUUUCUGUAGUGUAGUGGUCAUCACGUUUGCCUAGCAUGUGAAAGGUCCUUGGUUUGAAACUGAGCAGAAACA